rnacentral:rRNA from 1 species
AGCAGUAGCCGCGGUAAUACGAAGGGUGCAAGCGUUGCUCGGAAUUACUGGGCGUAAAGCGUGCGUAGGUGGUGGUUUAAGUCCGUUGUGAAAGCCCUGGGCUCAACCUGGGAAUUGCAGUGGAUACUGGGUCACUAGAGUGUGGUAGAGGAUAGUGGAAUUUCCGGUGUAGCAGUGAAAUGCGUAGAGAUCGGAAGGAACACCUGUGGCGAAGGCGACUGUCUGGGCCAACACUGACACUGAGGCACGAAAGCGUGGGGAGCAAACAGGAUUAGAUACCCCCGUAGUCCCUGUCUCUUAUAC